CAACCCCCUGUUGUGGG
rnacentral:misc_RNA from 1 species